GCAGUCGAGCGGACCGACGGGAGCUUGCUCCCUUAGGUCAGCGGCGGACGGGUGAGUAACACGUGGGUAACCUGCCUGUAAGACUGGGAUAACUCCGGGAAACCGGGGCUAAUACCGGAUGCUUGAUUGAACCGCAUGGUUCAAUCAUAAAAGGUGGCUUUUAGCUACCACUUACAGAUGGACCCGCGGCGCAUUAGCUAGUUGGUGAGGUAACGGCUCACCAAGGCGACGAUGCGUAGCCGACCUGAGAGGGUGAUCGGCCACACUGGGACUGAGACACGGCCCAGACUCCUACGGGAGGCAGCAGUAGGGAAUCUUCCGCAAUGGACGAAAGUCUGACGGAGCAACGCCGCGUGAGUGAUGAAGGUUUUCGGAUCGUAAAACUCUGUUGUUAGGGAAGAACAAGUACCGUUCGAAUAGGGCGGUACCUUGACGGUACCUAACCAGAAAGCCACGGCUAACUACGUGCCAGCAGCCGCGGUAAUACGUAGGUGGCAAGCGUUGUCCGGAAUUAUUGGGCGUAAAGCGCGCGCAGGCGGUUUCUUAAGUCUGAUGUGAAAGCCCCCGGCUCAACCGGGGAGGGUCAUUGGAAACUGGGGAACUUGAGUGCAGAAGAGGAGAGUGGAAUUCCACGUGUAGCGGUGAAAUGCGUAGAGAUGUGGAGGAACACCAGUGGCGAAGGCGACUCUCUGGUCUGUAACUGACGCUGAGGCGCGAAAGCGUGGGGAGCGAACAGGAUUAGAUACCCUGGUAGUCCACGCCGUAAACGAUGAGUGCUAAGUGUUAGAGGGUUUCCGCCCUUUAGUGCUGCAGCAAACGCAUUAAGCACUCCGCCUGGGGAGUACUGUCGCAGGACUGAACUCAAGAAUUGACAGGGGCCCGCACAGCGUGGAGCAUGUG
rnacentral:rRNA from 1 species